UAGGUUUCCUUUAAGGUAGGCCCUGCCCAGUGGAAAAUAAACCUCAACGGCCGCAGUACUUUGACUGUGCUAAGGUAGCAAAAUCAAUUGGCUUUUAAAUGGAGUCGGGUAUGAAUGGGUUGAUGGAAAAUGACUGUCUCCUUUUUGUUUAAUUGAACUUUCUAAGAGGGAGAAAAUUCCCUUCAAAAGAAAAAAGACGAGAAGACCCUAAGAGUUUUUAAGAUAUAAACAUAGUUUGUUUAGCUUUUUUGUUGGGGCAACAGGAAGACAUAAAUUUUAAUUCUUCUGUUUAAAGUUUUACAGGCCAAAAUUUUUGAGAACGAAUAAACUACCUUAGGGAUAACAGCAUAAUUUUUCUAAAGUUUGUGACCUCGAUGUUGGACUAGGAACUAAAUGACUAGCCGUCAAAAUGGUUUGUUCUGUUCGAACAGCACCUCCUACG
rnacentral:rRNA from 1 species